GGUUAAGCGACUAAGCGUACACGGUGGAUGCCCUGGCAGUCAGAGGCGAUGAAGGACGUGCUAAUCUGCGAUAAGCGUCGGUAAGGUGAUAUGAACCGUUAUAACCGGCGAUUUCCGAAUGGGGAAACCCAGUGUGUUUCGACACACUAUCAUUAACUGAAUCCAUAGGUUAAUGAGGCGAACCGGGGGAACUGAAACAUCUAAGUACCCCGAGGAAAAGAAAUCAACCGAGAUUCCCCCAGUAGCGGCGAGCGAACGGGGAGCAGCCCAGAGCCUGAAUCAGUGUGUGUGUUAGUGGAAGCGUCUGGAAAGGCGCGCGAUACAGGGUGACAGCCCCGUACACAAAAAUGCACAUACUGUGAGCUCGAUGAGUAGGGCGGGACACGUGGUAUCCUGUCUGAAUAUGGGGGGACCAUCCUCCAAGGCUAAAUACUCCUGACUGACCGAUAGUGAACCAGUACCGUGAGGGAAAGGCGAAAAGAACCCCGGCGAGGGGAGUGAAAAAGAACCUGAAACCGUGUACGUACAAGCAGUGGGAGCACGCUUCGGCGUGUGACUGCGUACCUUUUGUAUAAUGGGUCAGCGACUUAUAUUCUGUAGCAAGGUUAACCGAAUAGGGGAGCCGAAGGGAAACCGAGUCUUAACUGGGCGUUAAGUUGCAGGGUAUAGACCCGAAACCCGGUGAUCUAGCCAUGGGCAGGUUGAAGGUUGGGUAACACUAACUGGAGGACCGAACCGACUAAUGUUGAAAAAUUAGCGGAUGACUUGUGGCUGGGGGUGAAAGGCCAAUCAAACCGGGAGAUAGCUGGUUCUCCCCGAAAGCUAUUUAGGUAGCGCCUCGUGAAUUCAUCU
rnacentral:rRNA from 1 species